rnacentral:ncRNA from 1 species
GGCCCUGGACGGCCUGGACACCGACGAGGACCUCGCCGAGGACGACCUCG